UACGUAGGGUGCGAGCGUUAAUCGGAAUUACUGGGCGUAAAGCGUGCGCAGGCGGCUUGCUAAGACAGGUGUGAAAUCCCCGGGCUUAACCUGGGAAUUGCAUUUGUGACUGCACGGCUAGAGUGUGUCAGAGGGGGGUAGAAUUCCACGUGUAGCAGUGAAAUGCGUAGAUAUGUGGAGGAAUACCGAUGGCGAAGGCAGCCCCCUGGGAUAACACUGACGCUCAUGCACGAAAGCGUGGGGAGCAAACAGG
rnacentral:rRNA from 1 species